GGACACCCUGAUACUGAGGGAGGACCCCAAUAAAGUCUGGCGCACGUUUCUUUUCUCGUUCUUUUCGUCUCUGGUGCAUAGUGUACUGAAGGAGAUCAGUAGAGUAAACUUGUUUGUUUCGGUUUGCUGAUAUGGGCCUCGGAUGCACACGUGUUGAAAAUGGCUUUACUGAUUGGUCUGAAGAUGGCACCUAGAUAUUUUUCUUAUCUGUGGUUUGAAAUCUACUACAUGAAUCACAUCCACUAAUCUAUUCGGUUCCUCGUUGUUGCCACGUGAAGUGAGCUGUGAAUCCUGAUGGAGCAGGUUGGUGUCUAAGACCUCCUGAGCUUUCACCAGGAUGGACCCUUUUGUACCCGGAGUGCAAAAGCUUUUCAUUCAGACUUCAUCAGUUGGAGAGGAAGAGAGAUGUGCUGUUUGUUUUUAUGAUGCUUUUUUUAAAUAAUGCUGUGUUGGUGCAAAUAAAGCUUUAAAAUGUUC